rnacentral:rRNA from 1 species
AGAGCGAACGCUGGCGGCAUGCUUAACACAUGCAAGUCGCACGGUUCGGGGGUUUCGGCCUUCGGGCAGUGGCGGACGGGUGAGUAGCGCGUAGGUAUCUAUCUUUGGGUGGGGGACAACCGCGGGAAACUGCGGCUAAUACCGCAUGACGACCCUGGUUGGGAGAUUGGGGUCCAAAGCUUGUGAGAGCGCCUGGGGCGGAGCCUGCGUCCGAUUAGCUUGUUGGUGGGGUAACGGCCCACCAAGGCUUCGAUCGGUAGC